rnacentral:lncRNA from 1 species
CCGACUAUACUCUCUGUGUACCUAAUAAAUCCCAUACAUGAUACAAAACGACUCAACAAUCCUGUAAAACUCUGUAGGCUUAACUACUGCUACUCAGAUAUGUCAAUCUGAAAUGGCCCUCCGGGCCUAUACCAGGGACUACUAUCUGCUGUGAUUCAAGGGAUUAAAACCCUUUUUAAUCUGUAACACAUCCCACUGGUAUCUCAUCGAAGCCAUACAUUAAGCCUAACUCACACAUAGAAGAAUUGGUACUCACUCUCACCAGACUAUUCCCUUAAAAUGGGAGGUCAAGGGUUCGAGCAGUGGGGGAGGCGACCUGAUUCCCAGAGGAAGGAAUUGGGCCAAAUCCACUCGGGCUAGGGCGGGCCGUACUGGCUCCCCCGAGGGACAAAUCCUGCCUGGAACCCGUGAGGGUGAAGGGAUGUUAAGAGCUGUUCACGACGCCAGUGGAAAGCCCGAGGUGGCAAAGAGGCCAGGCGAGGGAUAGCCCUGGGCCGUGAACGGUAACAGGGCCGGUCGUACGGGGCCGGGCUGUUACAC